AACGAACGCUGGCGGCAUGCCUAACAUAUGCAAGUCGAACGAGACCUUCGGGUCUAGUGGCGCACGGGCGCGUAACGCGUGGGAAUCUGCCCUUAGGUUCGGAAUAACUCAGGGAAACUUGAGCUAAUACCGGAUGAUGUCUUCGGACCAAAGAUUUAUCGCCUAGGGAUGAGCCCGCGUAGGAUUAGCUAGUUGGUGAGGUAAAGGCUCACCAAGGCGACGAUCCUUAGCUGGUCUGAGAGGAUGAUCAGCCACACUGGGACUGAGACACGGCCCAGACUCCUACGGGAGGCAGCAGUGGGGAAUAUUGGACAAUGGGCGAAAGCCUGAUCCAGCAAUGCCGCGUGAGUGAUGAAGGCCUUAGGGUUGUAAAGCUCUUUUGCCCGGGAUGAUAAUGACAGUACCGGGAGAAUAAGCCCCGGCUAACUCCGUGCCAGCCGCCGCAGUAACAC
rnacentral:rRNA from 1 species